CCCUUCCUUGUGAUGAAUACAAAAGAAAGUAUCUGACAUAGGCAUCCCAUAAUCUGGUUCAUUUGAAAUCUUAAGAGGUAGUUUGAGGAAUUCCAGCUGCACCCUUCUUUCUCCUAGAUACCUCAAGGCCCUAUUCAACUUUGCACCAUGGCGAGGGGGGAUGGAAACUCGAUAUGAAUUACACCGACCAAUGGCCCCACUAGCUGUAAAAUCAGUAGUUCGGAUCCAAGGAUCAUCAUCAUCCAACAAAUCAAAGGGAACUAACACUUCAAUGUCAUCGUCAGCAGUUCUAAACAGACACAAGGUGCAGAAGCCAGCUGUAACAGGAUCACCAGCGAUGAGGUGCUCCAAUCCGUGUACUGUUUCACCUCAUUGAUAUCUCUCACUAGGAACUCCAAUUUAUUACUGCAUGCUCAGUUGUGUCUUUCAAGGAGAAGGCAGUAUCCCUAGUGAAACAAAAUUUGCACGUACCAUCAAAAGGAUCCACAAGAAAAUCAAC
rnacentral:misc_RNA from 1 species